UAAUACGAAGGGGGCGAGCGUUAUUCGGAAUCACUGGGCGUAAAGCGUGCGUAGGCUGUUUUGUAAGUCAGAAGUGAAAGCCCAGGGCUUAACCCUGGAAUUGCUUUUGAAACUACAAGACUCGAAUUCGGGAGAGGAUAGCGGAAUUGUCAGUGUAGCAGUGAAAUGCGUAGAUAUUGACAGGAACACCAGUGGCGAAAGCGGCUAUCUGGACCGACAUUGACGCUGAGGCACGAAAGCGUGGGGAGCAAACAGG
rnacentral:rRNA from 2 species